CUGAGACUACAACACUGGCAUUUUAAAAGUGGGGCUAAAGCUGCGCUGGUAUUUGUACACGAGUUAACAUACUAAGUAGGCACUACGGUAGCUGAGCUGUAAAUAUUCAUGGUUGGCUCUUUGCCAUUACGUUGGCUCUAAAAUCGCAUUUUCUGAAGCGUCAUUUCAUAAAGAGAGCAAAAAGCUGCUCUAAAAAUCUUAAAUUAUUUGUAAUUUUGUCUCUCGUUUUAAACUAAUUGUCACUGUGAGUGAAGUGGCAGGCUGGUGCAUCUGCCAUGUCCAAUCACAGACAGAGUAGUGUACAAUGGGAAACUUGAACAGUCUGUCUAAGUGUGUGUAUACAUGUGUUUUUGAGCCAAUCUCAUCAUCAGAGCACAGUCUCGCUUGAUUGGGCAAGGUGAUGCUGACUUGAAUAGCAAAUCAGCUAGGACUAAAGGCUGAACAAUAGUACAUCUAAUUAAUGUUCAUGACCCAGGCUGAUAAAGGAGAUCUGGGUUUCUCUCUGCAUUUCCAUUCAUCACUAUAAAUCUGCAUGUACCCAUACUAAAGACAUGCUGGUAGCAUCAGCCGUGGAGUGAGAAUUAAUCCUACUAAUGGUGAGUGCCUUGCCUUUCAGCAAACCAGCUAAGACUAAUGGCUGAACAAUACCACAUCUAAUUAAUAUUCAAGAGCCAGGCUGAUAAGGUUAAUAAAGGAGGUCCAUGUAACCUGGAGAAAGUCAUCUGUUCACAUUCCCAUUCAUCUCUAUAAACCUGCAUGUUUCCAUCCACAAGAGGAACAGGAGCCAAAGCUCAGCACGGUGUGAGAAGGUUGCCCUCAGGCAAGCAUGAGACUGGCCUUGGUAAUUGGCACCAGUGAACGAGAGGGUCCUGGCACGACUCCGAAAACCAGAGCUGUUUGGAAUUUCAUUCUGACGGUACCCAUUCACUGCAGAGGAUUCAUUGGUGAGCAAGUGAUGUAAUUUUAAAUUUCUCCAAAUAUUUUCCGGUGAAGAAAGAAACACAACUACAUCUUGGAUGGCCUGAGGUGAAUGUCAGAAAAAAUAGUUCCAGAAGCCAAGGCUACUGCAAAAAGAUGUUUGUCCACUUUAAAAUUGCAGUUUGACCUGUGAACAGUGAAACAGCAUAUUCCCCAUGUGUAUAUCUAAACUUCCAAGGUACAUGAUCUAUUUAUUGCUUUAAAUUGAACAUAAGAAGGAGUUUUAUUUAAACAAAUCUUCAAGUUGCACACCAAUAAAUUCUUGAAUUAAACAUUAUAUGAAUUAUAUGAACAGUGUUAAUGUAGCACCUGCUGAAUCAAAUGUUGGAGCUUGCUAAUCUUCCUCUAACAAGUAACACCUUACUCUUCUGUUUAGUCUUUGUCAAUCCAUUAGCUAGGGACACAUUAGGAACAACAGACUGUGCAUUGAUUAAAAAGGGCCCUUUAUUUAAUUACACCUGCACAGUUGCCAGUUCGUCUGCUUAACAGAUAGUUCUGCAUAUUCCCUAUCAGGUGGCCAUUUAUUUAGGUGUCGACGAAUUAGAUUACGGCCAACCGGACUGAUUUCAUAGUCACGUCCAGGCUAUAGAAGAAAAAAAAGUUAAGAUGCAAGCAUGAGAGCAC
ensembl:lncRNA